GCUCGUGUGACGCAGCGGUUUAGCGUGUUGCUCUUAUACUCUCUUCCCACCAGAAGCUUGUAUGAUUAGAAAUGCAAAGGUCGUGAGUUCGAUCCUCACCUCGAGCA